CGACCCGUGCCGACCCAAGUCUGAACGAUUCCCCUUCUCACCGCCUAACGGCUACCAAAUCUCCCCGUCCGACGUCUUCUAUGCCACAUAUUCUUCUUCCAUUACGAUGGCCCCCGGCAGUGGCGGAGGAGCCCGGAAACGGGCGUACGCGGAGACCACCACCGGCCACCCCUCCGAACCCGACCCCGAUCUUGACGAAACCCUAGCCGAGAAUUGUCCUCCCCCCACGCCUCUCUCCUCCUCCGCCCCUACCGCCGGUGGUUUCAAUGAUCCCGCCACCGCCGACGUCCUCCUCCGCCUCCACCUCGACGAUUCCUCCCCGCCCUCCUCCCCCGCCCCUCACCCCACCUUCCUUGACCUCCAUCUCCACUCCUUCGCCCUCCACCGCUCUCGCUACUUUGCCGCCGUUCUCUCCGACCGGUGGCUCCCCGACGCCGCCGACUCUACCGACGCUGUCCCCCGCCUCAACCUCACGGUCCCCUCCGCCGCCACCCGCUCCCGCGGCCUGUUCGAGUCCCACGUUGCCGUCCUCCGUCUGCUCUACACCUUCGAUUUCUCCGGCUCGAUCCUCUCCGCCGCCGACGCCCUGGAGAUGCUGCCCGUCGCCCUCGAGCUCCUCUUCGACGAUUGCAUCCAGGCCUGCGUACGAUUCCUCGAGGCCGUGCCCUGGACCGAGGAGGAGGAGGAGGCCGUGCUCAAUUUGAUUCCUUUCCUUCAAGCAGAGGAAUCCCGCGACCUCCUUGCUAGGAUCCGGCCGGAGACGAGUCCCGACGGGAAGCUCCCCUCGGAGGAGAUGCUUCACAGCCUGAUCCUCUCGGCCAUCCACAGCCACCCGAAGGUGGCCACCGUGAAGGCCUUCGUGGCGAAGCUGCUGAGAGAUUACCCCUCGCGUGACUCGGUGAGGAGUGUCUUGGACCGAGCAUUCUUGGUGAGCCUGGAAUCAGUGAAGAAAUUGCUCGGAGAGUAUGCAAGCCCGGACUUCAGGGUGGCGGAGGACAACGACGAGACCGAGGCGAUACAGAGGCUGAGCCUCCACAAGGCAAUGGUGAAUGCGAGGCAUCUGCUGUGGCUGGUGGAGAGGAUGAUCGAGCUGAGGGUGGCGGACAUGGCGGUGAGGGAGUGGAGUGAGCAGGCCACGCUCGUCGCUGACCUGCAGAGGACGUUCAGGGACGACGCAUGGCGGAAUAUUGCACCUGGCUUGCCAUCACUGGUGAUGAGGUGCACCAGCCGGCUCGCCAAUGCUGUGGCUGCCGGGUCGAUCCUGGCUCCCGGACAGGUGAGAAUGAAGCUUGUGAAGGAGUGGCUUCCUGUGUUGAAUGUUUGCAGAGAUAUGGUUUCACCAAUGCCAUCUGGUCACAAAAUGCUUUAUCAGGAGAUGGAAGAAAUAUUUCUAAGUAUUAUCUCCACCCUGCCAAUGUCAGAUGCCCAAGAAUUGCUGCAGCAGUGUCUCAGCUUCUCCACACGCAAUGUCGAUGACUGCCCACACCUGAUCUCGGCAUUCAAUACCUGGUUUAGGCGGGCGAAUCGACCACCAUAUGAUGGCAGUACCAGUUGAAAGUAGAUUAUGCUACUAGCACAAAAUGUGGAUCGAGUAUUGAUUAUGUGAUCAUGUCCAUGAUGUUGUUUACUGAUUAGUAAAGAGCUACAGUAGAUUUCACAUGAAGCAGACAUGCAUGGAUCAGAAUAUGAGUUCUCAAUGUUUCAGUUAACAUCUUUACUAUGCUUCUCUUCUGCUGGCAUCAACAACUUAAACCACAAUAUUUGCACAAGAAUUGGAAGGUAAGUCUGUUUACAUUUUAUUAAGGGGAAAUAUCUUAUUUAUUAUUUAUUAAAUAUGAUUCAUUUGUUGAUGCUCAAUCAUGUGAUUGCUUCUUGUUGUCUCUCUUUCACUCUUAUGUCUUGGUGCAAUAACUUGCUGUUCUUGUUGUUUCUACUUGUCUAUGUUCCCUUGAUUUAUGAUAAAUUUACUAGAAGUGCACUUCCAGUUGAAUACCAUUAUACAGUUAUGUACGGCUACCCGGGAGAUCAAUUCACCUAUUAC